rnacentral:lncRNA from 1 species
GAAUGUUUAAAAAGAGCAUGCAAUAAACCUUGUUUUUUUUCGGAUUGAUAAGUGACUUUGAAAUCAAAUCUUGCUAAUAACAUGCUCCAACGAGCUUGGCAACGAUUUUAAACAUGUGGUGACAUAAAAUACUCAAGGUUCUUGUGAUCUAUAUAUACGGUGUCAUAUUACAUGGCAUUUGGCUUGAGAAUGCAUCAGGCACCUAGUUAUGGAAGAUAAAAGAAAAAUUGCAAUAACAAGUCCUAACAACUCUAAUAGAUUCUUAAACAAAUUACAAUUAAAGAUUAGCAAGUAUAAUCAAACAUCAAUCAAAUUCAAUCAAAAUUGCAAAGGAAUUAUGUAAGAAACAUAAAUUAUUUCUAAAGAUCUUUUAAAGAAAUCAUAAAGAAAUAACAUAGAAAUUAAAAAAUAUACUAAAAUAAAAAUUUUAACAAAAUAUUAAAAUAAAAAUCUUAAUUAAAUCAUAAUCAAAUCCUAACCAAAUCUUAAAUAAAUCCUAAUAAAAUCCUAAUAAAAUCCUAACCAAAUCCUAGUCAAAUCCAAAUUAGAUCCUAAUCAAAUCAUAAUCAAAUCUUAGUCAAAUCCUAACCAAAUUCUAAUCAAUCUUAAAUAAAUCCUAGUCAAAUUCUAACAAAUUCUAAUCAAAUCUUAAAAAAAUCUAAACAAAUCUCAAUCAAAUUUUAAUCAAAUUCUAAGCAUAUCCUAAUCAAAUCCUAAAUAAAUCCUAAUAAAUCCUAAUCAAACCUUAAAUAAAUCCUAACCAAAUCCUAAUCAAACUCUAAACAUAUCCUAACCAAAUCCUAAAUAAUCCAAGUAAUUCUUAUAGUUGAUUUAAACCUCAAUAAUUAAUGAAUGAACUAUUGAUUUUAAUUCAAAUUUUUCACACCUCUUUACAAUUAAGUUGAUAAGAAGCAAAAAUUUUUUGAAGAAGAUCAAAGUCACCAAAAAGAAGAUCAACCCUAAUAUUUGUUCAGAUGUUUGCUAGUCUCCUUCUUCAAUCUAAAUGUUAAAUUUUUAGUAUCAAUAUCUCUUUAUUAAACUAUUUAAUUGAUUUCAAAUUUUUCAAAUAUGUAAAGAAAUAAGUCUAUUAUCUACAUACAUAAUUUUUAGUCCAAUCCAACUAAUAGAUUGCAAGAAAUCUUAGAAAAACUCAUUAGAAAUCUAUCAUAAUCCUUGAUCCAAUUCUUUGAUUAAGCUAAAACAUACAGCAU